rnacentral:rRNA from 1 species
AUGGAGUCACCGCCGCCCAAGCUCAUCGCCGGUCAAGAUCACGACGACAGAAUCAGCGCGCUCCCCGACCACCUCCUCCUCGACGUCCGCGAGCGCCUCGACCUGCGCGAGGCCGUCCGCGCCGGCGCGCUCUCCACGCGCUGGCGGCGCCUCCCCAACCACCUCUCGCGCGUGCACCUCGACGUCGCUCGAUUCCAAGGCGCCACGCCGCUCGAGGCCAUGGACGCGUUCACGGGCGCGGCACGGGCGCUGCUGACUCUGGUUCCUCUGGCCGAGGGGGAGUGCGUCCGUGGUGCCCUCAGGGUCCUCAUCCUCGGCUUCUACAUGUCUUCCCCUCACCUGAGCUCCAUAGCCCGGCUCGUCGAGGACAUUGUUAGCUUGGGCCAGACCGAAUGCCUUGAGUUUUGCAUAUCCCCACUGCCCGUGAGCAACACGGCCUCGCUGCUGGCUGAGAUUGGGCAGCAGUUCAUGUCCUUCUCCCGUGCCUACCCGGUCGCCUUCUCGUGGCUCACCGGGCUUACACUCCAGCACCAUUCGCUUGGGCAUUCCGAUCUCACCAACCUCAUUAGCGCUUGCGGUGGGCUUAGGCACCUCACCCUCAGAAUCUGCAGGUUGUUAGAGGACUCCUCGCUCAAGAUCGAUGCACAUCAUUCUGGGAUCCAGGAGCUCAAGUUCGUAUGCUUUAGAUGCACACGGAUCGAGCUCGUCUCUCUCCCGAAGCUUAGGGAAGUACAAUGCCUAUAUUGGCCCUACGAGAACCCCCCGGUGCACUUCGGCUAUGUUCCAGAGCUCCGUCAUGUACGUCUCUCAUCUUUUGCCAUGGCGUGGCAGGCGCCAUUCGCGCUGAGCGAGUGCCUGUCAAGGAGUGCCAGGAACCUGUCGAAACUGUCUCUCGAUUUUUCCCACCAAAUGAUUUGGAUUCAGCCAGAACAUCCGAAGAACCUUGCUCCUAUAUUUAGAAACCUAGCCUCUGUGUAUCUUUUCGGAAUCUUCCUUGAGUGUGAUCUCAGCUGGACCCUGUUUAUCCUUGAGGCUGCACCUGCCCUACUGAAUAUUGCAUUAUCUCAACAUUCAUGUGUCAAAACGCCCGAGCAUAGUGCCGAGAAGACCAACGUGGUGUGGGAGCCAUCCAAGGAUUUGAAGCACGUGAACUUGAAGCUUCUGUCAAUCUUUGGGUGCGAGGAUGAAGACAAAGUGACAAACUAUAUAAGGCUUGUCAUGGAACGAGCUGUGGGGUUGAAGAGAAUCGAACUGGACAGUGAAUACUUCUGCGAGGACUGCAAUGCCAUCGACCUUGAAAGAUCCAAGGUGCAUAAAGCUAGCAUGCGUCGGAUUAAGGAGCGGCUCACACAUGGAUCUUCCUCGUCCGUGGAGAUAAUAAUUAUAUGA